GAUGAACGCUGGCGGCGUGCCUAAUACAUGCCAGUCGAGCGAACAGACGAGGAGCUUGCUCCUCUGACGUUAGCGGCGGACGGGUGAGUAACACGUGGAUAACCUACCUAUAAGACUGGGAUAACUUCGGGAAACCGGAGCUAAUACCGGAUAAUAUCUUGAACCGCAUGGUUCAAUAGUGAAAGACGGUUUUGCUGUCACUUAUAGAUGGAUCCGCGCCUCAUUAGCUAGUUGGUAAGGUAACGGCUUACCAAGGCAACGAUGCGUAGCCGACCUGAGAGGGUGAUCGGCCACACUGGAACUGAGACACGGCCCAGACCCCUACGGGAGGCAGCAGGAGGGAAUCUUGCGCAAUGGGCGAAAGCUUGACGGAGCAACGCCGCGUGAGUGAUGAAGGUCUUCGGAUCGUAAAACUCUGUUAUUAGGAAAGAACAAAUGUGUAAGUAACUAUGCACGUCUUGACGGUACCUAAGCAGAAAGCCACGGCUAACUACGU
rnacentral:rRNA from 1 species